GUAGAGGGAGACCUCAAGCCCAUGAAGGUUGCCCUGAGUCAGGACGACCUAACAGUUCUGUUGAGGAUCCUGAUGGAGAACAUUGGAGAAGCCAGCGGUCUGCAGCCAGACCAACACACCAGCCCCGACACCACAGCCCUGACACACAAGACCACGCUGAUGCUCAAAACAGACUACGCCAAAGAUGGUGUUGAGAACACGGUUGAACUUCCAGAACAACAGGUAGAAGA